rnacentral:rRNA from 1 species
CUCAACUGACGCUAAAGCUCGAAAGUGCGGGUAUCGAACAGGAUUAGAUACCCUGGUAGUCCGCACGGUAAACGAUGGAUGCCCGCUGUUGGCGAUAUAGUGUCAGCGGCCAAGCGAAAGCGUUAAGCAUCCCACCUGGGGAGUACGCCGGCAACGGUGAGACUCAAAGGAAUUGACGGGGGCCCGCACAAGCGGAGGAACAUGUGGUUUAAUUCGAUGAUACGCGAGGAACCUUACCCGGGCUUGAACUGCAGAGGAAGGAAUGAGAGAUCAUGACGCCCUUCGGGGUCUCUGUGGAGGUGCUGCAUGGUUGUCGUCAGCUCGUGCCGUGAGGUGUCGGCUUAAGUGCCAUAACGAGCGCAACCCUUUUCUUCAGUUGCCAUCAGGUUAAGCUGGGCACUCUGGAGACACUGCCGCCGUAAGGUGUGAGGAAGGUGGGGAUGACGUCAAAUCAGCACGGCCCUUACGUCCGGGGCUACACACGUGUUACAAUGGGUGAUACAGAGCGUCGGCGUCUGGCAACAGCCGUCCAAUCGCUAAAGUCAUCCUCAGUUCGGAUUGGGGUCUGCAACCCGACCCCAUGAAGCUGGAUUCGCUAGUA